UACGUAGGGUGCGAGCGUUGUCCGGAAUCAUUGGGCGUAAAGCGCGUGUAGGCGGUCCGGUAAGUCCGCUGUGAAAGUCGGGGGCUCAACCCUCGAAUGCCGGUGGAUACUGUCGGGCUAGAGUGCGGAAGAGGCGAGUGGAAUUCCUGGUGUAGCGGUGAAAUUCGUAGAUAUUGGGAAGAACACCGAUGGCGAAGGCAGCCAUCUGGACCGACACUGACGCUGAGGCGCGAAAGCGUGGGGAGCAAACAGG
rnacentral:rRNA from 1 species